UUUACUCAAAAGAAAAAAUCAGAGAAAAUCGUGUGACUCCGGUUCGCUGCGUAAUUGAACUGCGUAGUCCUUCUCUCCUCCUCCAUUCCUUUCUUCCUUGCUUGCGUCUCUCUCUGCUCACACAACACAAACUCACAAUCACCGUCACAAUCACACUCUCUUCAGUUUCACCUCUCUUGUCUACUCCUUCUUAUAACCCGUCAUAAUCACCAUAAUAAUUUCAACUAAACUACACACUUCAUUUCAUUCAUGGGUAUUACCCACAUGUUCUUCUUCUUCCCUCAAGCUUCAAUUUUUCAGCUUCCACUCAAACCUUAAAGCCUCCACUAACCGAAGAACAAAACCGUUAUUGAAACCGCAACAAGUACACAGUGCCCCAACUUACCACAUGGGAUUGGGAUUAAUAACCACCCAAGCAACGACCAAAUCCCAGGUAGCCUUUCAUGGAGUCAUCAUCAUCAACAUCAUCAUCAUCGACAAGAAGAACAACAUCAACCGAAAUAACAUCAACAUCGUUGAUGGCGAUACAGAAUUCCUUCGACUCCGUUUAUUCCCGCUACGCACGAGAGGCGCUCGACGAAUUGCCUGGUAACUUCACCAUCACCGACCCAUCAAUCCCAGGCCACCCAAUCAUCUUUGCCAGCCAAGGCUUCCUCAAGAUGACCGGUUACGACCGAGACGAGGUUGUCGGAAGAGGUGGGGCCAUGUUCCAAGGUGAUAGAACUUCUAGAAGGUCGGUGAUGGAGGUCAGGGAGGCCGUUAGGAAUGACCGGAGCUGCCAGGUCAGCUUGCUUAACUACCGCAAGGAUGGGACACCCUUUUGGAUGCUCUUUCAUGUGAGUCCUGUUUUUGGAAGGGAUGGUGGCCGGGUUGUUCACUUUGUGGCGGUUCAGGUUCCUUUGGAAGGGAGAAGGCUGAGGAGGCGACGGUCUAUUGGGUGCCGGAGAGGUAGCGCCGAUGACGGUGGUAGUGGCGAUUAUGUUCUCGGGUGUUGUAGGAAGGAGGUGUGCAAUGAUAACAGCUUGGAGGUUGAGUUAGUUUCUUCCAUGGAUCACGGGUUGGACCAUGAUACUAGAGAAUUGGACAGUGACAAGCCGUGUGAGGCAACUGACGACGAGAAGAGAAGCGCGAUGGUUGCAAUGGACAACAUUUUUUCUGUGCUAACUCACUACAGCGAGUCAACAGGCAGAUUGGUAUGUAGAAAGAGAUGCAGCAUACCUGACAUGGGUCUUCUUAGCACUUCCUUGAUUAUUUCUCUUGGUAGAAUCAAACAAAGCUUUGUAUUAACUAAUCCGCAUUUACCUGACAUGCCUAUUGUAUAUGCCAGUGAUGCCUUCUUGAAUUUGACAGGUUAUGCAAGGGAUGAAGUUUUGGGCCGCAACUGUAGAUUUUUAGGUGGACCGGAUACUGAUGACUCAACUUUAUAUCUGGUACUUUGCUUUUUGCUUACAGAUAAGGGAAAGCAUUAAAAAUGAACAACCAUGCACAGUACGUAUUUUGAAUUACAGGAAGGAUAGAAGCUCAUUUUGGAACCUUCUCCACAUCUCACCCGUACGUGAUGCUUCUGGCAAGGUAGCAUACUAUGUUGGUGUUCAAAUAGAAGAUGAGUGUAAAAACGAGGACAGACAAGGCUUGAGCCCUGAGAAGAGGCAGCUUAGUGUGGUUGGUGUGGUGAAGGUUGCUGUCAGGAGUUUAUCAAUGCAUGCUGGAUCUUCAAAGUCAUAGGAUGAUUAUUUAUUACUCAUAUUAUGCCGACUUUCCAAAAUGUUAUUACCCGUUCACAAAAUUAUCAAUCUCAACUGAUUGAUCGUUGAGAUGAUAUGAGCAGAAAAUACUGAUUUAUGUAAUCCAUAGUGUCCAAGCAAUUAUAAGAAAAACAUUCUACUAUCGAUAAAUAAA